GAUGAACGCUGGCGGCGUGCCUAAUACAUGCAAGUCGAGCGAACAGAUAAGGAGCUUGCUCCUUUGACGUUAGCGGCGGACGGGUGAGUAACACGUGGGUAACCUACCUAUAAGACUGGGAUAACUUCGGGAAACCGGAGCUAAUACCGGAUAACAUUUGGAACCGCAUGGUUCUAAAGUGAAAGAUGGUUUUGCUAUCACUUAUAGAUGGACCCGCGCCGUAUUAGCUAGUUGGUAAGGUAACGGCUUACCAAGGCGACGAUACGUAGCCGACCUGAGAGGGUGAUCGGCCACACUGGAACUGAGACACGGUCCAGACUCCUACGGGAGGCAGCAGUAGGGAAUCUUCCGCAAUGGGCGAAAGCCUGACGGAGCAACGCCGCGUGAGUGAUGAAGGGUUUCGGCUCGUAAAACUCUGUUAUUAGGGAAGAACAAAUGUGUAAGUAACUGUGCACGUCUUAACGGUACCUAAUCAGAAAGCCACGGCUAACUACGUG
rnacentral:rRNA from 1 species